CACUGCCACGGGGGCUGCUAUAAGAGAAACACCAGCCUCACGUCUCAGCAGCAGAGUCUGGGCAGGGGUGAGGGGAACAGAAAGGGGCACACGGGCUCAGAGGCACAGUGAGGCCUCACCUGGCUACUCCAGGCUGGGGUGGUGGCACCUGAGCCACAGAGGUGGCCCUGGGGAGGCCUCCCCCUGGAAGCCCCGAUUAGGCUGCACAGACAGCCCCAUGGGCCCAACACACGGUGCUCAGA